rnacentral:rRNA from 1 species
UACGUAGGGGGCGAGCGUUGUCCGGAAUUAUUGGGCGUAAAGAGCUCGUAGGCGGCUUGUCACGUCGGAUGUGAAAACCCGGGGCUCAACCCCGGGCCUGCAUUCGAUACGGGCAGGCUAGAGUUCGGCAGGGGAGACUGGAAUUCCUGGUGUAGCGGUGAAAUGACGCAGAUAUCAGGAGGAACACCGGUGGCGAAGGCGGGUCUCUGGGCCGAUACUGACGCUGAGGAGCGAAAGCCAGGGGAGCAAACGGG